AAGGUCUCCCGCAACCGGCGCUGAAGUGGACAUCCCCCGGGGAGCAGGAACGCAUGGACCGAGAAGCCGCACGCCUGGGCACCUUUC
rnacentral:ncRNA from 25 species